rnacentral:rRNA from 1 species
AAUGAACGCUGGCGGCAGGCCUAACACAUGCAAGUCGAGCGAAGCCUUCGGGCUUAGCGGCGGACGGGUGAGUAACGCGUGGGAACGUGCCCUUUGGUACGGAAUAGCCCCGGGAAACUGGGAGUAAUACCGUAUGUGGUCGAGAGACGAAAGAUUUAUCGCCAAAGGAUCGGCCCGCGUUGGAUUAGGUAGUUGGUGGGGUAAUGGCCUACCAAGCCGACGAUCCAUAGCUGGUUUGAGAGGAUGAUCAGCCACACUGGGACUGAGACACGGCCCAGACUCCUACGGGAGGCAGCAGUGGGGAAUCGUAGACAAUGGGGGAAACCCUGAUCUAGCCAUGCCGCGUGAUCGAUGAAGGCCUUAGGGUUGUAAAGAUCUUUCAGUGGGGAAGAUAAUGACUGUACCCACAGAAGAAGCCCCGGCUAACUCCGUGCCAGCCGCCGCCGUAAAAC